rnacentral:rRNA from 1 species
GUUGACCUCGGAUCAGGUAGGGAUACCCGCUGAACUUAAGCAUAUCAAUAAGCGGAGGAAAAGAAACCAACAGGGAUUGCCCUAGUAACGGCGAGUGAAGCGGCAACAGCUCAAAUUUGAAAUCUGGCGUAAGCCCGAGUUGUAAUUUGCAGAGGAUGCUUCUGGGCAGCGGCCGGUCUAAGUUCCUUGGAACAGGACGUCAUAGAGGGUGAGAAUCCCGUAUGUGACCGGCUGGCACCCUCCACGUAGCUCCUUCGACGAGUCGAGUUGUUUGGGAAUGCAGCUCUAAAUGGGAGGUAAAUUCCUUCUAAAGCUAAAUACCGGCCAGAGACCGAUAGCGCACAAGUAGAGUGAUCGAAAGAUGAAAAGCACUUUGGAAAGAGAGUUAAAAAGCACGUGAAAUUGUUGAAAGGGAAGCGCUUGCGACCAGACUUGUCGGCGGUGUUCCGCCGGUCUUCUGACCGGUUCACUCGCCGUCGGCAGGCCAGCAUCAUCUGGGGCCGCCGGAUAAAGGCUUAGGGAAUGUAGCUCCCCUCGGGGAGUGUUAUAGCCCUUUGCACAAUACGGCGCGCCCCGGGUGAGGUCCGCGUCUCGGCAAGGAUGCUGGCGUAAUGGUCGUAAGCGGCCCGUCUUGAAACACGGACCAAGGAGUCGAUUAUCUAUGCGAGUGUUCGGGCGUCAAACCCCUACGCGUAAUGAAAGUGAACGGAGGUGGGAACCUUUACCGGUGCACCAUCGACCGAUCCGGAUGUCUUCGGAUGGAUUUGAGUAAGAGCAUAGCUAAUCGGACCCGAAAGAUGGUGAACUAUGCCUGAAUAGGGUGAAGCCAGAGGAAACUCUGGUGGAGGCUCGCAGCGGUUCUGACGUGCAAAUCGAUCGUCAAAUUUGGGUAUAGGGGCGAAAGACUAAUCGAACCAUCUAGUAGCUGGUUCCUGCCG